CUAACUACUGUAUUAUUUUCUUUAAAACAAUUAUUUUAACGCGAAUUUUAGUGAGGGUUCGGACCUGUCCAGAGCCUCACAUUUACGGCAUUCGUGGGUGUCUAUUUACUAAGCAUCGUGUUUCGAUAGAUGUUUAUAUUUGGGUGCUAAUUUGUGGAAUAUAAAGCCAUAUAGUUGCUUCUUAUUUUUCCAGAGUUUGGUGAAUUUCGGUUGAACUACGGAAAAGUUAUCCGAGUUCAAAGAAAAAGAAACCAGAUUUACGUCCCUCAUCCCCACUAGAUGGUGCGACGUUAUCUAGCUCUCUCUGCUGUAAGUGCAUGUCCGGGCUAGUACAGAUUUAAACGAAUUUAAACGAAUCAUUUCUUUUCGCCAACCUAUCAGAAGUUACGCUCAACGCCUUCCUCUCGUCACAUCGGAAAUUUUCAACAUUUAUGUAACUAUUUCAAAUAUAUGUUUUUUUUAGACGUAUAAAGCAACUGAACGACGUUAUAUUUGAAACACGGUUCCCUCAGUCCAACGAGGAGGAUACGGAAAGAAUUUCAUAUGAUGACGAAUCAUCUGAAGAUGAAUAUGAUAUCUGUGAAACAAGAGAGG
rnacentral:misc_RNA from 1 species